UGCAAAUUCGAAAUGAAAGCCCGGAAACCCCGGAACUAGAACUGGUAUGGAGUCUCACUCUGUCGCCCAGGCUGGAGUGUAGUAGCGCAAUCUUGGCUCACUGCAACCUCGGACUCCCAGGUUCAAGAGAUUCUCCUGCAUCAGCCUCCCAAGUAGCUGGGACUACAGAUCUCUUCAACUACCUGUGAAAACUGAUGUGAUGAAAAGGGGAAUUUGAAGGAGCCAUUCCAGAAGACAGGGCGAAAACUGAAGUGCAAUCAGGGCCAAGAAAAACAGAAAUAGCAGGACCUGGAGUUGCAUAGGUUGAAUAGUUGAAUAGGCUGCUCUCCUCAGCUGGCAGGAAACCUGGCAGCCUCCUGGUGCCCAAGGACUGAAAACCUUAGAAGCACCUGGAGUUGGCAGCCUUGGCAUGGUCAGGUUGGCACCUCUGGAGGUGCCCAGGCUUCCCUGGCAGCAUUGUGAGCAGUGGAUGGUGUUGAAGGGCAGCCAGAGGAGGAAUGGAACACAUGCUCCUUGCUAACCACACGGACAAGGCCACGUUCACAGGUACACAAAGGCAACGCAGUUGCUCAGGUGCUUCGGUAUCACAGCCAAGACCCCUUCGGGGGAAGCUAGUCGGAUACUGGGACCCACAUUCCAGACUACUGAGCCGCGGUCGCGCCCUCGGCUCCGUUUCUGCUCCCUCCACCCCACGAGGACGGGGGUGGAAGGCCACCUUCGAUGGGUGCAUCCUCCACGAUGACCUGCUAACAAAGGUGCAUGGAUUUCAGAGUCUGAUUGGCCUACAACAGCAUUUGGCUUGUGGAGACAGUGGUUCCCUGAUGAAAAACUGCCAUGAUGGGAAUAGAAACAAUCAGAGGAAACUUCCGUGAGUUCCCAGGACACAUCCACCCACCUCCUCCACGUGUAACCACCACCUCUACCUUCCCCUCUGGUGCUGUGGAUGAGCCAUCCGUGCUCCUGGCAAAGGCCCACCUGCCACUUGGGCACAGGAACCCAUCCAUCCCUCCUUACCUCUGGUAACUCUCCCUCUCUCUCUCCUGCAUCCUUCAUAUUCUCUGGGUUGUAUUCUCUUCCAGCCCCCACCCCCUGCCCACCUCCAGCAUGUAAAAGUGCUGUUAUUGUUUCCACUUUAAAACAAACCCUAAAAAUAAGUAAAUAAAAUAAACCCUACCCUGACCCCA
rnacentral:lncRNA from 1 species